UGGAAGGUAGCUCAAUCGGUCGAGCGCUCGCCUGUUAAGCGAGACGAUGCCGGUUCGAAUCCGGCCCUUCCAGCCA
rnacentral:tRNA from 1 species